AGAGUUUGAUCCUGGCUCAGAACGAACGCUGGCGGCAGGCCUAACACAUGCAAGUCGAGCGAGAAAGCCUUCGGGUGAGUACAGCGGCGGACGGGUGAGGAACACGUGGGAACGUACCCUUUAGUUCGGAAUAGCCUCGGGAAACUGGGAUUAAUACCGAAUACGCCCUUCGGAUCAAAGAUUUAUCGCCAGAAGAUCAGCCCGCGCAUGAUUAGUUUGUUGGUGAGGUAAUGGCUCACCAAGACUACGAUCAUUAGCUGGUCUGAGAGGACGAUCAGCCACACUGGAACUGAGACACGGUCCAGACUCCUACGGGAGGCAGCAGUGAGGAAUAUUGCACAAUGGGGGAAACCCUGAUGCAGCCAUGCCGCGUGAGUGAAGAAGGCCUUAGGGUUGUAAAGCUCUUUCAAUAGUGAAGAUAAUGACGGUAGCUAUAGAAGAAGCUCCGGCUAAAUUCGUGCCAGCAGCCGCGGUAAUACGAAUGGAGCAAGCGUUGUUCGGAAUCACUGGGCUUAAAGCGUGCGCAGGCGGAAAAGAAAGUCAGAUGUGAAAUCCCAGGGCUCAACCCUGGAACUGCAUUUGAAACUUCUUUUCUAGAAUCCGGUAGAGGUCAAGAGAAUUCCUAGUGUAGAGGUGAAUCCGUAGAGAUUUGGAGGAACACCAGCGGCGAAGGCGGCUAUCUGGACGAGUACUGACGCUGAGGUGCGAAAGCGUGGGGAGCAAACAGGAUUAGAUACCCUGGUAGUCCACGCCGUAAACGAUGAGUGCUAGUUGUUGGAGUCUUUAGGCUUUGGUGACGCAGUUAACGCAUUAAGCACUCCGCCUGGGAAGUACGGUCGCAAGAUUAAAACUCAAAGGAAUUGACGGGGACCCGCACAAGCGGUGGAGCAUGUGGUUUAAUUCGAGGCAACGCGAAGAACCUUACCAGCUCUUGCAUCCCGAUCGCGGUUAGUAGAGAUACUUUCCUUCAGCUUGGCUGGAUCGGUGACAGGUGGUGCACGGCUGUCGUCAGCUCGUGUCGUGAGAUGUUGGGUUAAGUCCCGCAACGAGCGCAACCCUCAUCCUUAGUUGCUAACAUUUAGUUGAGAACUCUAAGGAAACUGCCGGUGACAAGCCGGAGGAAGGCGGGGAUGACGUCAAGUCCUCAUGGCCCUUAUGGGCUGGGCUACACACGUGCUACAAUGGCGGCGAAAAUGGGUUAAUCCCCAAAAGCCGUCUCAGUUCGGAUUGUCGGCUGCAACUCGCCGGCAUGAAGUUGGAAUCGCUAGUAAUCGUGGAUCAGCAUGCCACGGUGAAUACGUUCCCGGGCCUUGUACACACCGUCCGUCACACCAUGGGAGUUGGAUUUACCUGAAGCCGGUGCGCUAACCUUCGGGAGGCAGCCGUUAGGAGCAGCGACUGGGGUGAAGUCGUAACAAGGUAGCCGUAGGGGAACCUGCGGCUGGAUCACCUCCUU
rnacentral:rRNA from 1 species